GGAUGUACCCUAUUCACUAGGGGUAGUGAGUAGGUACAAGUUAGAUCUGGGUGAGAAGUAUUGAAAGAUUGUGAAAGUAAUUCUUAAGUAUUUAAGAAAUACUAAAGACCAAUGACUUAUCUAUAGAGACACUGAUUUAAAACUGAUGGGAUAUACUGAUUUUAAUUUUCAGUCAGAUUAUGAUGACAGCAGAAGCAUGUCGAGCUAUAUAUUUACUCUGAAUGGAGGAGCUGGAAAAAGUUUCAAGCAACAUACUAUGAUCGAUUUUUUAUGUGAAGCGAAAUACAAUACUGCAUUAGGUGCUGCAAUGUUCUGCGCUGCUAUCACAUGGUGCG
rnacentral:lncRNA from 1 species